rnacentral:misc_RNA from 1 species
GGAAGCGCCAUCUAGUUUUUAAGAAAACAAUUGUCCUGAUGUGGCUGGCAACUGCUGGAGACUUUUCUGAUUCUUAAUUUUUUCUUUUAUAACUUAAUCAUAGUGUCUAUUGUGUUUUCUUAUGAGACUUGUUUGAUUUAAUAAUAUUAGCCCAUUUAUAAAAUAAGAUGUUUCUGUUAAUUUAUAUACCUGCCUGAUUUUUAUUAUAAAUAUUUGAAAAUUAAUUUCUUAAGUUG